rnacentral:rRNA from 1 species
AGAGUUUGAUCAUGGCUCAGAAUCAACGCUGGCGGCGCGCUUAACACAUGCAAGUCGAGCGAGAAAGUCCCCUUCGGGGGAUGAGUAAAGCGGCGGACGGGUGAGUAACACGUGGGUUACCUGCCCUUGAGUGGGGAAUAACCUCGGGAAACUGGGGCUAAUACCGCAUACGAUCCUUCGGGAUGAAAGCCUUCGGGCGCUCAAGGAGGGGCCCGCGGCCGAUUAGCUAGUUGGUAGGGUAAUGGCCUACCAAGGCGUCGAUCGGUAGCCGGCCUGAGAGGGCACACGGCCACACUGGCACUGAGACACGGGCCAGACUCCUACGGGAGGCAGCAGUGGGGAAUCUUGGACAAUGGGGGAAACCCUGAUCCAGCGACGCCGCGUGACCGAUGACGCCCUUCGGGGUGUAAAGGUCUUUCGGCGGGGACAAUAAUGAUGGUACCCGCAGAAGAA